rnacentral:lncRNA from 1 species
CAGGAGGAGAGCCGUGCGGGCAGGGCGGUUUUAACGCCGCGGGGGCCUCACGAGGCUCGGCACCGCCCUCGGAAGGGGCACCCGAGGGACGGCGGCCUGGCCGAGGAGACGGCGCCCCCUUCCCCUGAGGCGAGGAGGAGGAGGAGGAGGAGGAGGAGGAGGAGGAGGAGACCGAGACCGUCUGCCGUGACGCCGCGCCGAGCCGCGCAGGCGCAGCGCCCGUUGUAUCCGGCCGCCGCCUUUUCUCUCUUCCUCCUCGUCCCUCCCUCCCUCUCCCUCCAUCCCCUCCCACAGCCGCCGCGGUCGGUGCCGCCGCCGCCGCCGCCUGUGCGCGCCCUGCCCGCCCGCUCCCCCCCCAUCCACCCUCGGCUCUCCCCGCGGCUGCCCCAUGAGGCGAUGGCAGCGGCCAACUUCGGCAAGAUCCAGAUAGGAAUCUACGUGGAGAUCAAGCGCAGCGAUGUUGUGAAAAAUAUGCCUUAUCACACAGAAGAGCUAGAGAGUGAGCCAGAAUGUAGCUGCGAGACCAGCUGUGAGUGUGGUUCCUCCCGUCCAGAAGAUGCACCUUUCUCAGUUUUCCAGUCCAGUUGUGUUCUGCACACUUCCUCCUCAGACUGUUCCUAUCCUCUCCAUCUUGGCAAAUCUGAAAUACUACCUAGAAGAAGAGAGAAAUUAAUUACAUAUUUGCUCAUUUGGAGAGGGGUGGAAUACAGUGGUGUUGUCACUGUGUCGGAAGUAAAGCAGCAGAUGAGAAAGGACCUUCUGGUAAUUGAGGAAAGUGACUGA